ensembl:lncRNA
CGGAUCUCACGGCGGAGACCCGGGAAAAUAAAAUAAAAUAAGGAACUAUUCUGACCAUGAGACAUCAUUCAACAGCGUAACACAGUCGGCGCUUUCACUCUCUUACAGCAAACGUAUCACAGCAUCAGAUCAACAGGGGACAUUACGACAUUUGCAGGUACACAUUCAAACAUAAAUCAAAGGUAGCGGAUUCGUUGAUCCGGACUCUAUCGUACCACGUUAUGACUGAACAAAUCAAAUAAACAUCAAGUUCAUAUCAACACGCUAAAUUAGUCUGCCCAGAAAACCAGUGUUACUGUUUGAUGGGCGUUGGUCAUCAGCUUCCAGCUGACUGAGGACAGUUGAGCUCCGCGUAGGGAAACUCAGUGGAUGAAGGCGAUUUCGGCCGUGGGGUCUGAACUUCUCGUUGGGAACAGAGGCGGCGGGGGGUCAGAGAGCAGCUGUCUCUCCGGUCCUCUGGAGUCAACAGGAAUGAAAUCAAAAGGGAAAAGGAAGCGGGACGUAGUGGAGCGCGAGUCUUGAGUUCGUCCAGCGAGAUUAAGACUGAAACUUGGGAAUUGGAGGGAAAGAAAAGAAACCAAACAACGUUGUGUUGUCUCGAUCUGUCACUAACGGGAAGUCAGGCGAAAGAGAUCGAUCCUUUGGCGCAAUCUCUUCUUAUGAACUUGAGGUCCAUGAAUAAAUGUCACUGUCCUCGGCCAAUGGGAGCGCUCGGUGUUCUUUGGUACGUCCUCUUUUUAUGGCCAAGGGGGUCUGGAGAGCUGCAGGGGUCCUGUUAUCAGCCCCUGGCAUCAGGCCACGGGGGACCCCUAUAUGUUUGUGUCCUUCCUUUGUCCUCAGUGAAGAAACACGUGGUGAGGUUCAUUAGCAGGGUGGAGGCCCAACAUCCCCUUUGCAUUAAAAGGUCACAGACAUUUGUUUGUUUCUGAUAACACAUGUGACUAAUUAUGAGGACAUCAGCAUACUUCAUCUAUAAACAGAGACUCUGGGGAACCGGAGGAGGAA